rnacentral:rRNA from 1 species
CAGGCCCUACGGGGUGCAGCAGGCGCGAAAACUUUACAAUGCUGGAAACAGCGAUAAGGGGACCUCGAGUGCCAGGAUACAAUCCUGGCUGUCGUAAUGCCUAAAAAGCAUUGCAUACAAGGGCCGGGCAAGACCGGUGCCAGCCGCCGCGGUAACACCGGCGGCUCGAGUGGUAACCGCUAUUAUUGGGUCUAAAGGGUCUGUAGCCGGCUGACUAAGUCUCUUGGGAAAUCUGACAGCUUAACUGUCAGGCUUUCAGGAGAUACUGAUCGGCUCGAGACCGAGAGAGGUGAGAGGUACCUCAGGGGUAGGGGUGAAAUCUUGUAAUCCUUGAGGGACCACCAGUGGCGAAGGCGUCUCACCAGAACGGAUCUGACGGCAAGGGACGAAAGCUAGGGGCACGAACCGGAUUAGAUACCCGGGUAGUCCUAGCCGUAAACCAUACUCGCUAGGUGUCGGCCACGGUGCGACCGUGGUCGGUGCCGUAGGGAAGCCGUGAAGCGAGCCACCUGGGAAGUACGGCCGCAAGGCUGAAACUUAA